GGGAAGGUGGCUCAGUGGUAGAGUGCUUGCCUCGCAUGCAUGAGGCCUUGGUUCGAUUCCUCAGUACCA
rfam:Dipodomys ordii contig_65942, whole genome shotgun sequence.